rnacentral:lncRNA from 1 species
UGUAGGACAAAGAUGCAGAGCAGCUGGAAGGCAGGCAAGGCAGAACCCAGAAAGCACAGACAGAGAGGAAAGAGCUGCUUGCAGGACAUCUCUGUAUCAGAACAGACCUGCAGAUUGAGACACUACUAGGAAGAGCCAUGAGAGUUCAACCUUGUCAAGAUGGUGAAAUGAUUUGUCUCUUAUGGAUCUGUCAGAUGCUAGGCAGGAAACCAGGCCAUCUGGGUUAGGCUUGGCUCUGCUACUAACCAGCUGUGUGAUCCUGCGCAUGGCUCUUUACCUCUCAAACCUAUUUCUUUACCCAUAGAGGCUGCAUUGAGGGUCCUGCCCUCAGGUAGAGUUCCCCACACAUGGCGCAGGACUCUCCCAGUGACUCAUCCCUACCUUUAUUUCUACUUCACUGAGAAAAUGAAAGCAAUGCGAAGAGAACUGAAGAGAACUGAACCCAGGACUGAAUCUUAGGGUACUUCAGCAUUAAGAGUCCUGGGUCCUUUUCCCUUUCUGUCAUACUCACUCCCCUAUGACUUCAUCCAGUCUCAAGACUGUAAAUACGGACCUCCCUAUGCUGAAGACCUCCAAACAGAUAUCUGCAGACCAGCCUCCAGAAUGCCUACUCAACAUCUUCCUUUAGAUGAUAGAUUUUAAGUUACGCAUGUUCAAAAUGGAAUUCCUAACUGUCAAAUCUGUUCCAUGCUACCUUCUCCAUCGAAAUUAACAGCAACUCCAUACUUCUUUUGCUAGGGGCCAGAAACUUGAGUCAUUCUCAACUUCACUUUCUCUCUUAUCUUUCAUCCAGUUGUCCAUGGAAAUCUUGCUGGUUUACCUUCAAGAUGUAUCUAUCAUCUGCCCAUGUCUCACCACCUCCAAUGCUGCCACGACGUCUGGACCAGCAUGAAUGCCUGGCCUCAACCUCCCGGGCUCAAGCCAUCUUCCUGCCUCAGCCUCCCAAGCAGAUAGGACUACAGUUGCACAAGAGCACUGAGCUGACAAUACUUUCUGAUAAGUCUUCCUGCUUCCACCCUUACCCCCCAUAUUCUGUUUUUAAUAUGCAGUUACAGUUUUAAAAUGGAAGUCAGAUCAUGUGAUGCCUCUGCCAACCUAGCAAGGAGUGAUUCAUUUCGCUCCCAGUAAAGGCCAUAGUCUUUCUAACACCCUACACAGCCUGCACAGCGGCUGCCCAUCAUCUCUGACCCCCUCCUCCUCUUGCCCUCUCACACUGCCUGGCUGUAGUGGGCUCAGUGCUAUAACGCACCUCUGCCUGAAGGCCUUUGCUCUAGUCUUCCAUCUCUCCAAAAGCUCCUCCUCACAGAUCCAAGUGCCCAACCCUUACCCACUUCAAAUCUCAUCUUCUCAGUGAGGCCUCCUCUGACCAGCCUUUCCUCACCCCCUCACCCCACUCUACUUUUUCUUUUCCCAACACACAUACCAUCCUAUAACAUUCUCUGUAAUUUACUCGUGGAUUGCUUAUUGUCUGUCUCCCUCCAUUAGAAUGUAAGCUCCAAGGCAGGGAUCUUUGUCUUUGUUCACUGAUGUAUCCUAUGCCCCUUAAACAGUGCCCAGCACAUGGUAGACGCUCAAAAAAAAGUUACUGGAUAAGUGACUUUAGUGGACACACUUUUGUUUUGUUUUUGAGAUGGAGUCUCGCGCUGUCACCCAGGCUGGAGUGCAGUGGUGCGAUCUCGGCUCACUGCAAGCUCCGCCUCCCAGGUUCACACCAUUCUCCUGCCUCAGCCUCCCG